AUGGAGCAGAGGCUGCGGAUGGCGCGAAUUUGGGUGGACAACCCUAGCACCGCCCAUCACUGGACUCAUGGCUUCGGUGGUGUUCUUUUGUAUGAUGACAUUUUGGAUGUUAGGUUCUUUUUUGAUGCUUCAGAAAUGUUAGAGCUGAAGCUCUGCAGUUCAGAUGUAACAUACCUGAAUAUGAUUGCAGUGAUGGAAACCCAAGGAUUUAGUGAAUAUGAUCUGCUGUUUCACAUUGAGAAUCCAAAUUUAGGGGAGAAAGAAUUGGAGAUGGUAGAGAGUAAUGCUGAGUUGCAACUAGUAAAGAGGCAGGUUGAAGAGUGUAAGGUUUUAAAUUUGCUAGUGAGGGCAUGUCCACCUCCUUGCAGCAAGUUUGAGAGGCAAGAAUUAUCCACUGUUGUGUAUGAAGAGCCUGUGUUAUAUGAUCUCAGUGAGCCACCCAUCUAUGCUGUUGAUGAAGAAGGAGUUGCCUUUGAAAGUCAGAGUAGCAGCUGCAGUUUAGUAGCUCAUGGUACUGGUGUUUGCACACAAGAGAGCAAGAAUGUAAAGGAAAACUGA
rnacentral:rRNA from 1 species